rnacentral:sRNA from 2 species
UCGGCGAAGAUCCCUAAACGGAGCUGGCAGGAACGGGGGACCCACUUCCCGGCUCGCGAGAACACGCGGGCCUUGGGGUGAAGCCGAGGCUGUCCACCCAUUCCGAGCCUCGGCCGGAUCCAUCGGAUCCGCACCCGACAGCUCACCCCGUAGGCACACUGGAGGAAAUAG